AUUUCAGUAGACAAACUUCAAGCUCUCGGCCUCUAGCAGUCCAGAGAGAGUUCGGGAGAGAAGGCCAACUUAGAAAGAGUAGAGAAGAGGAGAGGAGUUUGGGAGAGUGAUCAAGAGCUCAAGAGCUAGUGAAAGAGGGGUAGUGCUGCAAGAGUUCAUAGAGAGAAAUUAGUGGAAGUGUUGUCCAACUAGGAGUUAAGAAAUCUAAAAUCAAGGGGAGGUUCUGUCAAAAUUCAAACUAGCAACUAGACUCAAUCUUGAAAGAACGGCUGACCUCUAGACGGCUAACCGCUAACCUUUGACUAACCCCUUGCACUAGUGUUGUUUGUCUGUAAGCAUUUGUUGUAGGAUGAAGAGCUGGGCAAAGGGAAUCGCCAACAAGGUCUCAGGAAGGACCACAUGGAGCUCAUCCUAGUACACCUCGUCAAGAGCCGGCUCUGACAUGAGCACCGAUCCUCCCGCCGACUCUCAGCCACCAUCUUCCUCUACACCACAAAGGGUUCUCCUCAAGGCAACUCACCUUGCCUUGAAGGAUGUGAGAGAGAAGAACACCUACAUAAAUUGAAGAGCAGUAACUUUGUCCACACACCUGUUCUGGAUGAUGUGUUCCUCUAUGAAACUGGCAUGACCAGUGAACAGGAGAGGAGCUUAGGGAGAGACUUCUGAGAGGGCACCUUAGAGGAUAGCCUCUGACAGAUUUGCUCAUCAACAUGAGCCAGUCUGGCUCGGUGCUGAUCCCACUCAUGAAGCACCGACACACACCAUCUAUGAUGAAUGGCAGGCAUGCCAAUGCCACACACUGAACCCUGGGAUGUAUCCUCUGUUCCAUCCUACCUACCAUCCAUAUGGGUACUAUCCACCAUUACCAUUCAUCCCCACAAGAUAAGGUCCCUCAGGUGAAGCUCCAAGGCAUUCAUUCAGUACAUAUGCAGAAAGGACAGAAGAUGAGCAACAAGGCUUUGAGCAAGGACAAAGGUCUGAUGCUUCAGGGUUCUUCUAUACCCACCAGUAUUACAAUGAAUAGAUGGCAUUCCAAAACUACGUCCACACCUCUCUUGCUCAUAAUGAGUAGAAUUGGAAUGACCAGCGUCAGUGGAACCAAACCACCACUCAGACGUUGGCAUCUAUUCAAGAAGGGCAAGACCAAGCCCACAACACUCUAAGUGACAUCUUCGUGUUCCUCUAGAUCCUGAAAGAAGACUAGCUUGGGGGAGGACCCCCAUUAUCAAGGUAAGUUUUCUUUUCCCUUCAUUUCGAUUUAUUUCCUUUCUCUUUUAUAAUUUUAGAAAAUCAAAUAAAUAUUUGCGGUUUAAUUUGUUUAAAUUUGAGCUUGCUUAAAAAUGAAAACCAAAUAAAAAGAGUGUGUAAUAUAAGUUUACUUUAUUUUUCUAUUAAGUUUGCUAUAAAUAAAAUAUGUAGAGAUGAAGGAAUGAUGGAAAUGAUGAAUAGUUGCUCUGCCAUAAUUCUUUUCAAGUACCUAGUUUUAAAUUUGAAUUCUCCCAAGGAUUAGAUACACUGUUAGACAACUGAAUUUACUCUACUCUUUAAACCUGUGGGAGCAUAUGCUUAAACUAAGUCUAGGUAGUUUAUGGAUCUAAUAUGAUAUAGUCUGAGCUACUGUUUAUCUUGUUCGUAGUGCUAUUAAAUUCUAGAGAUUUAUUUUAUGAAAAUUAAAAUGCUUCAUGAUGAGUUCUAUGUAUGAUAGAGAGUAAAAAAUUCCUACCAUAGCCAUAUUUAUUUAAUAUAGGAAGCCUCCACAUAUAUGUAGGGCUUUGUGUUCUCGAGCUGUGUUGACCCUUAGGAACUCAUCAUGUGACUAAUCUCGGUAUCACGUACACUCAUGUUCACCUCUUUGCUGCUUCUACUCUGGAAGUACGCACCACAUAAAUAUUCCAUAUUCACCUAUCCAAAAUGUUCCACUCUUACACCGAGAGUGAACACCAAAAAUAUUUCCCCUGCUUAUUUGCUAGCCAAUUAUCUUAAGUUCAAUGCUCCAUGUUUUAUCUCUUAUUCCUCUACAAAAUAUUUGUUACAAAAAAGAAUUAUUGGGAUGCAAGAAAAAUAGUGGACAAAAGUUCCAUGAAAGAAAGAAAAGAAAGAAAGAUUUAUGAGCCCAAGUUAUUAUCAAAAUUUCAAGUUCAAAGUUAGAGGAAUCAUUCUAUGUAAAGGAGCAUUAGAAUUAUUUUGCACCCCUUCUCCUUCCGCAAAUAUUCUCUAGUUUAGCAUCCACAUAUAAAACCACACAUGCACAAACCGGUUGGUUAUGUGGUGAGUUCAUUUGGAUCCAAGGUUCGAUCAGAUCCAAUGCAUUAGUUAUCCCCACACCUAUGAGCUCCACAUAAGCUUUAUUAAAUAUAGGGUGAGAGAGAGUGAAGGUUAUAUAAAUGCCUUGUGCCAUAAAUACUAUAUAUCUUGAGAGCAAGAGAGAAGGCAUCACUCCUUUCAAUGCCUUAGAGAGGAUCCAAAAAUACCAUAUAAUGAGAGACUUGAAAGGAUCAUACUAAAGAACUCUGAGUUUUAUUUUGAAAAUUACAAAAAACUCUAGGAUAGAGGUAGAACAAUAGAGCAUGAGACAACAGUGCUUGACUUAAUUGUUCUGUCUUUCAGCUGCUCAAGACCCAAGUAUAGGUAAAAGUCCCAUGGUUGGAAGAAAUAUGAGCAAGUUUGGACAUCACCAUAGACUUAGGCUUUUCACUAACAAUUUCCAUGAGUUUUGGUGAAUGUAUGUUUUUGUAGGGGGUUAUCGGAAUAAGAACAAAAGGAGGUUCACAUGUCAGAUUUACAUAGAGAGAAGACCGGAAUGUCAACUCCAGAAGACUCUAGAAGACUCGGGAAGGCAUGCCCUAAAACCUGGGGCCCACCUGCUGUUGAUAUUUGGUAACGCAAUUAGGAAUUGUUCCGCAAGCGCAUGGAUAUCGGUAGUGCCUCUACCCACUUGGAGACGUAGUCAACUGCCACCAAGAUGAACUCACACUUCUU